rnacentral:rRNA from 1 species
UACAGAGGUCUCAAGGGUUGUUCGGAUUCAUUGGGCGUAAAGGGUGCGUAGGCGGGGCUUUAAGGCAGGGGUGAAAUCCUGGAGCUCAACUCCAGAACUGCCUUUGAUACUGAAGAUCUUGAGUUCGGGAGAGGUGAGUGGAACUGCGAGUGUAGAGGUGAAAUUCGUAGAUAUUCGCAAGAACACCAGUGGCGAAGGCGGCUCACUGGCCCGAUACUGACGCUGAGGCACGAAAGCGUGGGGAGCGAACAGG